rnacentral:tRNA from 2 species
GGGGGUGUAGCUCAGCUGGGAGAGCACCUGCCCUGCAAGCAGGGGGUCAAGGGUUCGAUUCCCUUCAUCUCCACCA